GAAGAUAGAGACAAAAAAAAAAAAAGAAGAAGAAUCUCGUUCUAUUUACAGUAACUCGGAUUCCAAUUCCAGUUUUUAGCUUGCUUUUUUCCCUUUUUAGGUGGAUUUCAAAUCGAUACUCUGUAUAAACGGAUGUUGCAAAAGUUGAUGAGCGCUCCAUCUCUUACUGGACUCUUUCUGUAAGCAACACUUCAUGAAAUCAUUGAAUUUUUCCGACGUAUUUUCCGGCAAACUUGGUGGUUCACCGAAGCAUAUAGCGCACAUCAGAGUAGCCCAAUCCGGUCGCUGACCCGGCGGCAGGAACGGAAAGUGGCCCAUAUACAGUUCCAUUAAAGUGAGACCUAAGCUCCAUAUAUCAGCUGCGUAACCAUUGUAGUUACCUCCAUAAGUGUCUGGAUCAAAUCUUUCUGGGCUCAUAUACGCACAAGUUCCAACGUAUGAAUUGCAAGGAUCCAAAGUCCUUCCCAUGAUUUUGCUCACUCCGAAAUCAGCGAUUUUCACCUCCAUCUCACGAUUCACUAAAAGGUUCGAAGGUUUUAGAUCUCUGUGAAUGAUUUUGUGACUAUGCAAAUAGUCUAAUCCACCAAGCACUUGCUUAGCGAUUCUCGCUAAACAGAGUUCGGAGAAAGUUAAUUGUGAUUUAAGUAGAUUUUCUAAUGUACCGGCGUUCAUAUACUCCAUAAGAAUACCGAUAUCCCCGCCGGGCAUAUCAAUAACUCCAUGACACUUGAUAACGUAAGGAGAUUCCGUCCGGCGAAGAAUUGAGAUUUCCCGGAGGAUCUGACGGCGAAUCUCUGGGUCACUAUCACCGUGAACAACUUUCAGAGCGUAGAUCGCGGAGGUCCGCUUAUGACGGACUUUAUACACAGUUCCACCGUUUCCAUGACCGAGAACCUUAAGCUUUUCAAGUUCCGAAAUGGAGAUAGUGGUAGUAGAAGCAGUGGUGGUCGUCGUAGUAUUUGUAGCAGUGGUGGUGCUGGCGGUAGAGUUGACGGUGGGUACGGAAGAUGGAGGGAGAGGUAAGGGGAAACGAGGACGUCGUUCGGAGGGUUCCGGUAAGGGAAGACGGAGAUUUAGGUGUCGGCGAUCACGAACUAAGGCCAUGUGAGGGGUGAAUCGGGUCGGAUCCGUUUGGAAAAAUUGGAAGAGAA
rnacentral:misc_RNA from 1 species